AACGAACGCUGGCGGCAGACUUAACACAUGCAAGUCGAGCGCCCCGCAAGGGGAGCGGCAGACGGGUGAGUAACGCGUGGGGAUCUGCCUAGUGGUACGGAACAACACGGGGAAACUCGUGCUAAUACCGUAUAAGUCCUUCGGGAGAAAGAUUUAUCGCCAUUAGAUGAACCCGCGGCUGAUUAGCUAGUUGGUGAGGUAACGGCUCACCAAGGCGACUAUCAGUGGCUGGUCUGGGAGGAUGAUCAGCCACACUGGGACUGAGACACGGCCCAGACUCCUACGGGAGGCAGCAGUGGGGAAUAUUGGACAAUGGGGGCAACCCUGAUCCAGCCAUGCCGCGUGAGUGAUGAAGGCCUUAGGGUUGUAAAGCUCUUUCGCUAGGGAAGAUAAUGACGGUACCUAGAUAAGAAGCCCCGGCUAACUUCGUGCCAGCCGCCGCUGUAAAAC
rnacentral:rRNA from 1 species